rnacentral:rRNA from 1 species
GCCUACGGGGGGCUGCAGUUGGGAAUCUUGCACAAUGGGGGAAACCCUGAUGCAGCGACGCCGCGUGGAGGAUGACGGAUUUAGGUCUGUAAACUCCUUUUGCAGGGAAAGACUUAGGACGGUACCCUGAGAAUAAGGACCGGCUAACUACGUGCCAGCAGCCGCGGUAAGACGUAGGGUCCAAGCGUUGUCCGGAUUUACUGGGCGUAAAGAGCGCGUAGGCGGUCUGUUAAGUGUGAAGUGAAAUCUCCAGAGCUCAACUCGGAAACUGCUUCGCAUACUGGCAGACUUGAGGAAUGCAGAGGUGAAUAGAAUUCCUGGUGUAGCGGUGAAAUGCGUAGAUAUCAGGAGGAAUACCCAUGGCGAAGGCAGUUCACUGGGCAUUAUCUGACGCUGAGGCGCGAAAGCGUGGGUAGCAAACAGGAUUAGAUACCCCAGUAGUCUG